rnacentral:rRNA from 1 species
UGGGGAAUAUUGCACAAUGGGCGCAAGCCUGAUGCAGCCAUGCCGCGUGUAUGAAGAAGGCCUUCGGGUUGUAAAGUACUUUCAGCGGGGAGGAAGGUGUUGAGGUUAAUAACCUCAGCAAUUGACGUUACCCGCAGAAGAAGCACCGGCUAACUCCGUGCCAGCAGCCGCGGUAAUAUGGAGGGUGCAAGCGUUAAUCGGAAUUACUGGGCGUAAAGCGCACGCAGGCGGUCUGUCAAGUCGGAUGUGAAAUCCCCGGGCUCAACCUGGGAACUGCAUUCGAAACUGGCAGGCUAGAGUCUUGUAGAGGGGGGUAGAAUUCCAGGUGUAGCGGUGAAAUGCGUAGAGAUCUGGAGGAAUACCGGUGGCGAAGGCGGCCCCCUGGACAAAGACUGACGCUCAGGUGCGAAAGCGUGGGGAGCAAACA